UACGUAGGGACCAAGCGUUGUUCGGAUUUACUGGGCGUAAAGGGCGCGUAGGCGGCUUAACAAGUCACUUGUGAAAUCUCCGGGCUUAACUCGGAACGGCCAAGUGAAACUGUCAAGCUAGAGUGCAGAAGGGCAAUCGGAAUUCUUGGUGUAGCGGUGAAAUGCGUAGAUAUCAAGAGGAACACCUGAGGUGAAGACGGGUUGCUGGGCUGACACUGACGCUGAGGCGCGAAAGCCAGGGGAGCAAACGGG
rnacentral:rRNA from 1 species